UACUGCUCAGUAACACGUGGACAACCAUACCUCAGGAGGGGGAUAACCCCGGGAAACUGGGGAUAAUACCCCAUAGACCAGGGAUGCUGGAAUGCCUCCUGGUUCAAAGGUCCGCCGCCUGAGGAUGGGUCUGCGGCCGAUUAGGUUGUUGUUGGGGUAACGGCCCAACAAGCCUUUGAUCGGUACGGGUUGUGAGAGCAAGAGCCCGGAGAUGGAUUCUGAGGCACGAAUCCAGGCCCUACGGGGCGCAGCAGGCGCGAAAACUUUACAAUGCGAGAAAUCGUGAUAAGGGAACCCCGAGUGCCCGUAAAUUCGGGCUGUCCGCCAGUGCAAAUAGCUGGUGAAGAAAGGGCCGGGCAAGACCGGUGCCAGCCGCCGCGGUAAUACCGGCGGCUCGAGUGGUGGCCACUAUUACUGGGCUUAAAGCGUCCGUAGCUUGAUUGUUAAGUCUCUUGGGAAAUCCACCGGCUCAACCGAUGGGCGUUCAGGAGAAACUGGCAAUCUAGCGACCGG
rnacentral:rRNA from 1 species